UACAGAGGUCUCGAGCGUUGUUCGGAUUCAUUGGGCGUAAAGGGUGCGUAGGUGGCUUGGUAAGUCGGAUGUGAAAGCCCUGGGCUCAACCUAGGAAGUGCAUUCGAAACUUCGAAGCUUGAGUUCUGGAGAGGAAGGCGGAAUUCUCGGUGUAGAGGUGAAAUUCGUAGAUAUCGAGAGGAACACCGGUGGCGAAGGCGGCCUUCUGGACAGUGACUGACGCUGAGACGCGAAAGCGUGGGGAGCAAACAGG
rnacentral:rRNA from 1 species